ACAGGGCAAGCAGGGGCACAGGUUACCCCUCUGUGAUGAAACAGGGCACUCCAAGCCCUGCCUCUACUUGCCUUGGGU
rnacentral:pre_miRNA from 1 species